AUUGAACGCUGGCGGAAUGCUUUACACAUGCAAGUCGAACGGCAGCACGGGGGCAACCUUGGUGGCGAGUGGCGAACGGGUGAGUAACACAUCGGAACAUGCCCAGUCGUGGGGGAUAACGUAGCGAAAGUUACGCUAAUACCGCAUACGAUCUAAGGAUGAAAGCGGGGGACCGUAAGGCCUCGCGCGAUUGGAGUGGCCGAUGCCAGAUUAGGUAGUUGGUUGGGUAAAGGCUCACCAAGCCAACGAUCUGUAGCUGGUCUGAGAGGACGACCAGCCACACUGGGACUGAGACACGGCCCAGACUCCUACGGGAGGCAGCAGUGGGGAAUUUUGGACAAUGGGCGCAAGCCUGAUCCAGCCAUUCCGCGUGCAGGACGAAGGCCUUCGGGUUGUAAACUGCUUUUGUACGGAGCGAAAAGCCUUGGGUUAAUACCUCGGGGUCAUGACGGUACCGUAAGAAUAAGCACCGGCUAACUACGUGCCAGCCGCCGCGGUAA
rnacentral:rRNA from 1 species